CCGCGCUUUCACAGGGCAGCCCCAGUCCCGCCAUCGCAGCCGCCGCCAUUCCCUGACAGCACAGCACCUGCCUUCCAGGAGCAGGCUGGCCUGUAACCUGAGUUCCACGAAUCUGGGGCAGCAGAGGCCAAACUCAGGCCAUGCGCUGGGGAGUUUGAAGCCAAUCCACGGGCUCCCAUGGGCAGACCCCAUAACCCGCCACUGCCUUCGACCACACCGUGCCCUCCUUCCAGAAGCAGGCUGACCUGCAGACCGUGCCUGGAGCAGCAGAAGCCGAGCCCUGGACAGGCCGUGGGAGAGAAGGGGGCAAGUCGACCAGCCUGCCAGGUCGCUGCCCAUCUCCCUGCCGCUGCCCCAGAUGCACAAAGCAGGGUCAUCAGAAGCCUCUCAAUUCCAAAGAUGAUUAUAGUGAAAAACAUUGCACAGUGACAGUGAAUCCUUGGAAUAUGAAGAAAGAUUGUAAAGUCCUGAAUGAAUUAAGAAGGAAUUGUUACAUUAACUUACAUGUAACCAUGGCUCUCUUACCUUACUUUUUACUUUAUAAUGAAGAUAUUCCUCACCCGUCAAGGUUGCUUUGUUAGAUAUAGGGAAUAUCUAAAGCCUUUUCUGGAAGUUUUUUAAAUAAAUAAGAGCAGAGAAAACUUGAGCCUAUGAAUCUAAACUCAUUUGUGAUGGUCUGCAGCUGGGAGCAAGCAGAUCAGUGUCAGUCGCUUUGCAGCCGUUGGCUGGGAGCCUGCAUGUUCCCUGGAAUGAUAUUUGAAACAUAUCACCCUAGCCGUGCCUUCGCUCUGGACUGGGAGGCGAGUCAGUCAGAAUCUGCAUUAUGGAAUGUUUUGGAUGACAAGCUUGUAUUUGCAAAAGUACACACCCUGUGGGAGGUGCUCUGUACAUAAGCUGAGAUACUGUACAUAAAAUUGCCUCUGAAUCUCAAUCAUCUGAAAACCCUGUCCUCAGCCUUUGAUACCUUCAGCUGUUUUAUGAAAGUCCUCCAAGUGGAUGAAAGUGUCAACAACCGGAACAAGAGUUUUUCAUUGCCCUAUUUGAGAAGAGCUGCGUGAACGACUUUUAUAUUCAGGAUAGAGAUACAUUCAUCAAUCCAACCACCAGGAGCCGCACUUGCAACUUCAGCCUCCAUCAGAGGACCUCAGCUGCUCCAGCGAACAGGGCCUUCUGUACAGGGAAUGUGCUCCUCCUCGAAGCAUAGACAAGAAGCAGCCCUUAGAUCUCAUCAGGAAAUUCUACGGAGAGAAGGUCGGAAUCUACUUUGCUUGGGCUGGGCUAUUACAUUCAGAUGCUCCUCCUGGCAGCAGUCGUGGGGGUGACUUGCUUUCUUGUGACCCAGGUGGCUGUCUCCUUGAACUGAUGAUGCAGCUGACAAUAAUCAUGGGAGGAGAGUCCAUCUGGAAUAACAUACAAGAGGUGUUACUUCCGUGCUUCUCAUGUGCAAAUUGGUAUCCCUGCACGAGAACCAUAAAUCAACAGAAAACCCAAAAGACCGAGGACAAUGAUGGGUUGCCGACAGCCCAAGCUUUUCUGCCACAGAUGAGUGGUUCCACGCAGGAAGACUGAGCAAGAGGCUCAGAGCCUUAUCUAAGGACAAGCAAGUCGGGACUUCUAAUACGACCUAAUGCCAUCGACGGGGGAGGGCAGUUCAGCACAAGAAGGGAGCACCAGGUGAGUUAACAUGGAAGUUACUUCCUGGAUCCAAACCGUGAUGGAUUUGGGUCCCGGAGGGUUAAAGCCCUGCUUCCAUUGGGCAUGGACCGGAUUCCACAAGAGGCUGAGACAGGAAUUAUGAGGCAGAGAAAAAUUCCCCCAGGGGACUCCCGAGUCUGGGUGCCUGGAAGGGUGAUGGACGAGCGCGGUCCCAGCUCCACCCGCACCGCAGGGC